CCUACGGGUGGCUGCAGUGAGGAAUAUUGGUCAAUGGCCGGAAGGCUGAACCAGCCAUGCCGCGUGAAGGUCAGUGCCCCAGGGGCUUUUAACUUCUUUUUUGCGGGAGCAAUAAUGGUCACGUGUGGCCAGACGAGAGUACCGUACGAAUAAGCAUCCGCUAACUCCGUGCCAGCAGCCGCGGUUAUACGGGGGAUGCAAGCGUUUUCCGGAUUUUUUGGGUUUAAAGGGAGCGGAGAUGGGUUGUUAAGUCAGUUGUGAAAGUUUUCGGCUCAACCGUAAAAUUGCAAUUGAUACUGGCAGUCUUGAGUACAGUUGGGGUAGGCGGAAUUCGUGGUGUAGCGGUGAAAUGCUUAGAUAUCACGAAGAACUCCGAUUGCGAAGGCAGCUUACUAAACUGCAACUGACAUUGAUGCUCGAAAGUGUGGGUAUCAAACAGGAUUAGAUACCCGUGUAGUC
rnacentral:rRNA from 1 species